UCCCUAAGCAGAAGCUGCUGGAGGCCAUUUUAAGGCAAUAUGUGAGCUGGCGUGUCGCCUGCAACUGAGUUCAGAGGUGCUAAAGGAUCCUGAGUGGGGCUGGGGGUUUGCUGUGGAGGUUCAGGAAGAAAGGCUGGGUUUACGGGUCCAGGAACAAUUACUGCAGGUUUGUGAGGCCAACCGAGCCCCCACUAGGUGACAGCCAGACAGCAGUGGGAGAAGGGACGAUGGCGACGAGCAAAACGGCACGGCUGAAUAAUACCUGUGACCACGGGAGCUCCUGCCCCUGAUGCUAUCCUGACCCUCCCCAUCCCACCCAGCUGCAAAGCAGUUGUUGCUCUGCCACCUGCUGCCAGCAUGCGGGUGGGAAUGCGUGUGCAGCUCAAGGGUGGCAUCGUGUGGUCAUAGUGGGGUAGUGCACCUCACAGCUUCCAAAGAGCUUCAUUCUGCGGAGUCACUCAAGGAAUUUUGAGUCUAUGUGCCAGACUCUGUUCUAGGACUGCAAGAUCUUUCCUAACAGAAUCAGAGUUUUUGUGAGGAGCAGUCUUGAGGGGUGCAUGCUAGAGCCCCUUGGUGAGCGUGUCUACAGCCAGACUGCUCUAGGGCACCUUUCAAAGUGGCUUCUGGGUCCACAUCUCAGGCAUUUGACGACUUAACCCUUUGCAUGAGCCUCGCAAAUUGCAACUCAAAUCCCUGCCACCCUAGAGAACCUAUUCCCUCCAGAGGGAGAGGGACUCAGGAGAGGCACUAUUCCAA
rnacentral:lncRNA from 1 species